AUUGAACGCUGGCGGUAUGCUUAACACAUGCAAGUCGAACGGUAGCAGGCCUUCGGGCGCUGACGAGUGGCGGACGGGUGAGUAACGCGUAGGAAUCUGCCUCAUAGUGGGGGACAACGUGGGGAAACUCACGCUAAUACCGCAUACGCCCUACGGGGGAAAGCGGGGGCUCUUCGGACCUCGCGCUAUGAGAUGAGCCUGCGUUAGAUUAGCUAGUUGGUAGGGUAAAAGCCUACCAAGGCGACGAUCUAUAGCUGGUCUGAGAGGACGAUCAGCGACACUGGGACUGAGACACGGCCCAGACUCCUACGGGAGGCGGCAGUGGGGAAGAUUGGACAAGGGGCGCAAGCCUGAUCCAGCAAUACCGCGUGUGUGAAGAAGGCCCUAGGGUUGUAAAGCACUUUCAAUUGGGAGGAAAACCUGCCGGUCAAUACCCGGCAGCUUGACAUUACCUUUAGAAGAAGCACCGGCUAACUCCGUGCCAGCCGCCGCCGUAAAAC
rnacentral:rRNA from 1 species